UGAGAAGAGGAUGAGGUCGACUGCAGCGAGAGUGAAUGUGCACUUUGAUUAGUUUGCAGCGCAGGCCGAGCUGUUUUCACCUUCUGCUCUGCUGUCAAGCCUUAUUUGAUGGAUUUCUGGCCGAGUUCAUCUGAGAUAAAUUGACUUUCUGACAAAGGGAUGAAAACACAGGAGGCUUCAGACUCUUGGUUUGGGAGCAAACACAUGGAAGAUAAGCAUCACUUGUCAAAAGAAAAUAAUACAAUGCUUUAGACCGCAAAUACAAAUGAUGUGCGCCCGCCUGAAGGAAGUGUGUGUGAGAGUUGAAUGAGGUGAUGAGUGACGUCGUGACUUUUCGCAGCAGAAGAUGUUCUCAGAAUCUCGGCCUCGGGGGCUCCAAGGUGUGUUCAGAUAAUUCAUCAUCUGUCUACGUCGAACCGCCGGCGUGCUCUGACUCAGACAGCAGAUUACAAGCGAAGCGUGGCGAGACUUGUGCAAUAUAGAAGCUAAGGUGGCAGAAAGGAUCGUGUCUGGAGACGCUUUUCUGAUGGUUCUGCCAGAUGUAAAAUUACACCUUCUGGCACAAAAAAACCAGAAUGAAGGACUCCUGCACUCUACAGCCCUACCGUUUGCUGCCAGGACGUGACGGUGCCCGUCAGGGAUAAAGUCGCCAUCAUUUUGCCUCCACUCUCUGAUUUCAAACCUCUGACUCGAAGGACCAGCCGGAGCCGAGCAGGGAUCCAGUGUCUGAGAGUUUCUCUGCUACACCUGCCUAGGUGAGUAAACCAGCCCACAGAGGGGGGGGGGGAGGAGCUACACUGUGACUGCCUACAGUGUGUGUAUACAUGUGAGCUGUCUGUGUGCCUACAGUCAGACAUUUUUCUCACAGGGUGUUUGAGUCAGAUAUCCGGAUGGAUUACAUGGGAAAUGUGUAUUUUCUGGCUUCAAAUACUCAAUAUUUCAUAAUUCCACAGGUAAAAGCAGAAACUGCUCUUGUAUCGACAUUCAAUGUGCAGCUCUCUGAACUGAAGAAAACUCACUGCUCGGCAAAGAUUUCCUAUAAUAUCAUGUUGCCGUUUAGAUGCCACAACAGUACAGGCUGUUUAUUACACACAUUUUCUCAGCAAUAAUUAUACAGAGCCUUGUUUACUUAAAUUUUUUUCUGCUGAUACUGAUGCUUUACAAACAUUAAAAAUUUUUAUGAUUGUUUUUUAGUCUCUUUUAACUUUAAAGUACAGCAGAUAAGCUUGUAUAUGGAAAGUAUUGUGCAUUUUAUGACUAAAGCAUGAAACUUUCUCCAGUAUUUCUAUAAACCACAAAGUUUAUUUUCAGACGUGGAGGCAUUUCAGAUGUGACCUCUGGGACAGGGCAGAGCCCCCUGGGAAAAUGAGUGUGGUCCAGACCAAACUCGCAUGCUAGCUUCUGAGUAGAUUGUUCGCUAAUGUGCUAGCUAAUUCCACAGAACACACAGCAGAAGUUAACAGUGUUUUUAACAAGCUAUAGCUACCUUAACACAUGGAAAUGGUGGGGUCUGCAAUCCCCCUGCAAAAUUGGUCCUCUAAGUAAAAAUGUAUGCCUUCCUAAUACUGUGAUGUUUUUGUGACUUACUAUACUAUGUCUUUUUUGUCACCCUCAUUGGACUCAUCUCUGAUGGGGAUGAGUCUGGGAGAUUGACCUGGUGCAGGUGGAACAAUCUGGAGCUGAACGCUCUUAAGGCAGUGGAGCUGAUAGUGGACUUCAGAACUAACCCACCCCCAUCACCCAGUGUGACUCCCCCCGUGGAGUACUUCUGCUUUCUGGCUACCACU